UUUAGGUUUCCUUGUGGAGUGGAGGGUAGCGAUGGCGGCAGAGAGUGCGAUCUAAGCAGGGGAUUUGUUUUUACCUCGAUUGACAAUGAGCGCUCCAUUGGAUGCUCCAGCGGAAGAAGAUACCACUGGCGAGAAGGAAAUCGCAAUGACCCAAUUCAAGGAUGGGGACAAAGUGCUUGCUUACCACGGGCCUCUCAUUUACGAAGCCAAGAUUCAAAAGGCAGAGCUUCGAAAGAACGAAUGGAAAUACUUCGUGCAUUACCUGGGAUGGAGUAAGAACUGGGACGAAUGGAUUGGGGAGGAGCGUCUGCUGCCUCUGAACGAAGAGAAUUUGGAGAAACAAAAGCAUCUGGUCAAUACGCAAGCUGCGGACAAGCGUGGGAAAGGACGGAUGGCUCAGGGAAAGCCAAAGGGAGCCACAAGCACUGCUACAAAAGGAAGGAAACGCAAGUCUGAGGAAAAAGAUGGUGAGGAUAACUCACUAAAGUUUUCACUCCCAGCUGCUUUGAAAAAGCUUCUUAUAGAGGACUGCGAGCUUGUUACGCAAGGCAGCAAGCUAGCCAAGCUACCAAAAAGUCCCUCCGUCGAAGAGAUAUUGCAAAAAUAUCUAGAAACUAAGACAAAACCGGGAGACUCUCUGGUUGAGAUACUUAAUGGCCUUCGCUCUUAUUUCGACAAGGCUCUUCCUCUGAUGUUGUUAUACAAGGAGGAACGUAAGCAACAUGUAGAAGUCUUUGCUAAUAACACAUCCACGCCAUCCGCUGUGUAUGGAGCUGAACACUUUCUCCGUUUGUUUGUGAAACUUCCGGAGCUCCUUCAAUAUGUAAAUAUGGAAGAGGAGGCAGCUUCUCAGCUACAACAAAAGCUGAUGGACCUUUUGAAAUUUAUUCAGAAAAACCAGAGUACCUUCUUCCAUGCCAAUGCGGACGGCUUGAAGUUCGAAAACAAAUGAGAUUGGUAUGGAUAGGCUUGCGCGUAAAGGGACAUCGUAAAUCGUGAUUGGCUAGUCAUUGCGGACAAGGACGAAGAAGUUUCUUUGAACCUGAUCCUCCAAAAGCUGAUACUGAUGGCGAUUGAAUCCCAUCCUUCCUACUCCAGUGGUGAGGCUUCGCUCCAAGUGUUUUCCUCGCUACAUUCCGUGUUCCCCAGCCAAGUUGCGAUUAGUUUUUGGAAGAGUGCAAUGUAUCGACGCGAAAGCGGCCGCCUCGGUAAGAUUUGUUUUUGUUUUGUUUGAGGAAUUCAGGUAUUGGGGGUCCAGUCCAGUCCAGUGUAGCUGCACUGGACGCGCUAGGCGACAAGUUUUCGCGACGCGAAAAGGAGAAAGAGAGCUCUAUCUAGCUCGCUCGCUCGGGACCGGGUCGGGCCUCUCGUUUUCCUUCACUUUUUUUCCGCUGUUUUCCUUUGUUUUGCUCUCUUUUUUUGCCCUUUCAGCUCGGCUGGCGCUCCAAUCACGUACAAGCGACAAACGGUCUACGCAGGCUGGCCAGGGACACCAUCCAACCUGAUACAGAACUUUUCCAACGAGAAAGCUUUGGCACGCACGCUGGCGAGCGAUUAAAAAAAGCCCAAGUUGAGUUCCACACCCAGUGGAAAGCGCGAGGGGCCAAGAUUCAGUGGAGCAGUGUUCUUGAGGACCAUGACGUUGGUGUUGGUUGGCAAACACACUCUAGAACAGUGACGUGAUUCCAUCGUAAGUUGAGGUCUGGUUGUCAAAGGUGAUGAGAUCUUAUCAUAUAGAUGUCGUGUGUGAUUUUUUAUACGUGUGUAUGUGGUGCCUCGCUUGCCUGGAUUGAAUCGAUGGAAUUCUCUCAUUUCAUGA